AGUCGAGCGGAACGAUUCUAGCUUGCUAGAAGGCGUCGAGCGGCGGACGGGUGAGUAAUGCAUGGGAAUCUGCCCGAUAGUGGGGGACAACCUGGGGAAACUCAGGCUAAUACCGCAUACGUCCUACGGGAGAAAGCAGGGGAUCUUCGGACCUUGCGCUAUCGGAUGAGCCCAUGUCGGAUUAGCUUGUUGGUGAGGUAACGGCUCACCAAGGCGACGAUCCGUAGCUGGUCUGAGAGGAUGAUCAGCCACACUGGGACUGAGACACGGCCCAGACUCCUACGGGAGGCAGCAGUGGAGAAUAUUGGACAAUGGGCGAAAGCCUGAUCCAGCCAUGCCGCGUGUGUGAAGAAGGCCUUCGGGUUGUAAAGCACUUUCAGCGAGGAAGAACGCUUCGGGAUUAAUACUCCCGAGGAAAGACAUCACUCGCAGAAGAAGCACCGGCUAACUCCGUGCCAGCAGCCGCGGUAA
rnacentral:rRNA from 1 species